GGGGGAAGGGGCGGCGGUUGGAGGGUCCGACGGGCAGGGUCCACCUGCGCUGGGGCGACUGCCUCCGGGAUGGCGAUGCUUCCCAGGGGAACCUCUUACAGACACUGCAGCUCCGCGCGCCUUUGCUCGCGACUGGCCAGGCGAGGAGAGGAGAGAGUAGCGCCAGCUGCGGGAGGGGGAGCGGUUUGGUCGCCUAGCAACGUGGCACGCCCCGGGAAACGCCCCUGCGCAUAACGCGAUGACGCCAGGGGGCGGGGCCCGAAGCCCCUCCCCACCCUGCGGUGCUCUCCUCCACCGCUGGCGCGGAAUCCGGCACACCUGGGGGAAUCUGGAAUGCCUGACUGGGGAUGGAUCGGGAGGCUGGCUGAGGUGGCUUCAGGGAUUUGAUAGACCAGGAGCAGAUUGAUGGCCACUCCAGCAUUGCAGUGGGACUACAAAACCAAAGGCAUGAAUCCACUAUGCAUCUUUAACCCUACCAAGAUUCCUAAGCCGGUCAGUGCAGCUUGCUGCCUGCUGGCCAUGCCCUACAGCCCGUUGCUCACUGUUGGAUACCAUACUCAUUACAGCUAGGAUCCUCCUCUGGCAGCUCCAGCACGAGCGGCUGUGCCAGUGUUCUGAAUUGGAAUGCCGCUUUCUGGUCCAGUACAACUCCGCUGUCUAUGGCACCCUCUGCUUUCUCCAGGAUCACUAGUCUAGACACCUUAUGGCAACGGAAGACUCAUCAGCAUCACCAAAGCCAACCUCUCCACCCCAUGCUUCACUGUCAGCACUAUCUACUCACUGGGAAAGCUUUAAUUGUAGCGACACCAAAUACUUAGGGAAGCUGAUGAAUCAGUGGCAACAUCCAUUUUAAUCUCCAUAAGAAUCGACAAGGAUUCCGAACAACAACUCUAUGAGACACUGACUUGGAGGAUGAAGAUUGGCCUGAACUACCAAGUCACUUUUGGUAUCAUAACCCAGCAUAUAGAUUUCGGCAACCAGG
rnacentral:lncRNA from 1 species